AUUGAACGCUGGCGGCAGGCUUAACACAUGCAAGUCGAACGGUAACGGGAAGGAAGCUUGCUUUCUUUGCUGACGAGUGGCGGACGGGUGAGUAAUGCUUGGGAAUCUGGCCUAUGGAGGGGGAUAACUACGGGAAACUGUAGCUAAUACCGCGUAGAAUCGGAAGAUGAAAGUGUGGGACCGUAAGGCCACAUGCCAUGGGAUGAGCCCAAGUGGGAUUAGGUAGUUGGUAGGGUAAAGGCCUAACCGAAGCCGACGAUCUCUAGCUGGUCUGAGAGGAUGACCAGCCACACUGGAACUGAGACACGGUCCAGACUCCUACGGGAGGCGAGCAGUGGGGAAUAUUGGCACAAUGGGGGGAACCCUGAUGCAGCCAUGCCGCGUGAAUGAAGAAGG
rnacentral:rRNA from 1 species